rnacentral:piRNA from 1 species
UUCAAAAAGCCGUGUGCUUAGCUGUUGGUC